AGAGUUUGAUCAUGGCUCAGAGCGAACGCUGGCGGCAGGCUUAACACAUGCAAGUCGAACGGGCGUAGCAAUACGUCAGUGGCAGACGGGUGAGUAACGCGUGGGAACAUACCUCUUGGUUCGGAACAACACAGGGAAACUUGUGCUAAUACCGGAUAAGCCCUUACGGGGAAAGAUUUAUCGCCGAGAGAUUGGCCCGCGUCUGAUUAGCUAGUUGGUAGGGUAAUGGCCUACCAAGGCGACGAUCAGUAGCUGGUCUGAGAGGAUGAUCAGCCACAUUGGGACUGAGACACGGCCCAAACUCCUACGGGAGGCAGCAGUGGGGAAUAUUGGACAAUGGGCGCAAGCCUGAUCCAGCCAUGCCGCGUGAGUGAUGAAGGCCCUAGGGUUGUAAAGCUCUUUUGUACGGGAAGAUAAUGACGGUACCGUAAGAAUAAGCCCCGGCUAACUUCGUGCCAGCAGCCGCGGUAAUACGAAGGGGGCUAGCGUUGCUCGGAAUCACUGGGCGUAAAGGGUGCGUAGGCGGGUUUUUAAGUCAGAGGUGAAAUCCUGGAGCUCAACUCCAGAACUGCCUUUGAUACUGAAAGUCUUGAGUAUGGGAGAGGUGAGUGGAACUGCGAGUGUAGAGGUGAAAUUCGUAGAUAUUCGCAAGGACACCAGUGGCGAAGGCGGCUCACUGGCCCAUAACUGACGCUGAGGCACGAAAGCGUGGGGAGCAAACAGGAUUAGAUACCCUAGUAGUCC
rnacentral:rRNA from 1 species